rnacentral:lncRNA from 1 species
AAAAAAUUUGUAAAUGGAAAAAUGCAGAAGGGUUUUAUCAUGAAUUCAUUGAUUUUCUAUAAUUGAUUAUCAACCCUUUUGAGGCUUGAUCGAGGAUAGUUUUUUUCCUUCACAAAAAGACAUGCUGGAUUUUGCACCUAUAUACAUACAUACGGAUCGAAAACUAAACCAAUAGAUUCACAUAGAAUACCUUUCCUAUGGAUAGAUAAUAGAAAGAGUAUCAAUUCAUAUGCUCAUGGUCUAUUCAGUGCAAUAAUAUA